GGAGGAAUACCCAAGUUCGGCUGAAGGGGCUCGCCUCGAAAGCGAGUAGGUCGGUGAAACGGCGCAAGGGUUCGAAUCCCUUUUCCUCCGCCA
rnacentral:tRNA from 1 species